rnacentral:misc_RNA from 1 species
GGCGGCGAAGGAGAUGUAUGUGAAAUUGGAGCCUGUGGCGGAGCAGUAUGCUGUGACGGCGUGGAGGUCGUUGAACCAGGUGCCGCUGUUCCCUCAGAUGGCACAGAUGGUGGUUCCGACUGCGGCCUGUUUGACUGAGAAGUAUAAUCAGGCUGUUGGCUAUGGCGCUGAGAAGGGUUAUGUCGUCUCGGCGUAUCUGCCAAUUGUGCCGACUGAGAAGAUUGCUAAGGUGUUUGGUACUGCCGAUGCCGCUCCGGCUGAGUGAGGUCUGAUUGAUGGUGAGGUGUUUUCUUGUUGUUCUGGUAAGCCUACCUGCAUAAGAUAAGGC